rnacentral:rRNA from 1 species
GGCUCAGGAUAAACGCUGGCGGCGUGCUUAACACAUGCAAGUCGAACGGAGUGGUUCUCCCGAAGACCUGAAGAGCUUGCUCAGAUGGAAUUCAUUUGAAUCACUUAGUGGCGGACGGGUGAGUAACGCGUGGGUAACCUGCCUCACACUGGGGGAUAGCAGUUGGAAACGACUGAUAAUACCGCAUAAGCGCACAGUAUCGCAUGAUACAGUGUGAAAAACUCCGGUGGUGUGAGAUGGACCCGCGUCUGAUUAGCUAGUUGGUGAGGUAACGGCCCACCAAGGCAACGAUCAGUAGCCGGCCUGAGAGGGUGUACGGCCACAUUGGGACUGAGACACGGCCCAUACUCCUACGGGAGGCAGCAGUAGGGAAUUUUGCGCAAUGGGGGAAAUCCUGAACCGCAGCAACACCGCGUGAAUGUUAAGCCCUUCGGGGUGUAAAGUUCUGUCAAUAGGGAAGAAUAAAUGACUGUACCUAUAAAGGAAGCACCGGCUAACUCCGUGCCAGCAGCGGC